CCUACGGGCGGCAGCAGUAGGGAAUAUUGCUCAAUGGGGGAAACCCUGAAGCAGCAACGCCGCGUGGAGGAUGAAGGUUUUCGGAUUGUAAACUCCUUUUGUUAGAGAAGAUAAUGACGGUAUCUAACUAAUCAGCACCUGCAAACUCCGUGCCAGCAGCCGCGGUAAUACGGAGGGUGCAAGCGUUACUCGGAAUCACUGGGCGUAAAGAGCGCGGAGGCGGGAUAGAAAGCAAGAUGUGAAAUCCUAUGGCUUAACCAUAGAACUGCAUUUGAAACUGUUAUUCUAGAGUAUGGGAGAGGUAGGUGGAAUUCUUGGUGUAGGGGUAAAAUCGGUAGAGAACAAGAGGAAUACUCAGUGCGAAGGCGACCUGCUAGAACAUAACUGACGCGGAUGCGCGAAAGCGUGGGGAGCAAACAGGAUUAGAUACCCGGUAGUC
rnacentral:rRNA from 1 species